CUCUCCUUUCAUACAGUCAGCUGGCCCUCUUCUCAGGUGUAGAUCACCUAUUAUCAUUUCACCUGCUUUGAUUUUCUGAUGAGGAAAGUCCCAGGACUUAUCAGCUGGGAUAGGCCUCUGUUCAGUGUUUGGAAGAAAGAAAACCUGACAGGUUUCUCCCGGAAAAGUGGCCAUCCAUGGAAUGGAUGAAAGGUUCCUUUCUAUUCCAGGGAUUGCAGUGGCAAAGCUAGGCUAGGUCUUGGAGGCUGGUGUAUGGCGAAGCGGGUGAAGACAGGAGGCUGAUGGAGAGACUGGGGGGAAGAAAAGCCGAAAUGGAUUCACGGUGCCUUGGAUGGAGGACGAGAGGGGAAUUGCAAGCUCCUUCAACUGUUCUGUCCGGUGAGAAGUGAUCAAGCUUGGGCUGACAAGAGGCUCAGGGAGCCCUCACGUUCUUUCGCUUUUUUACCUGCCAAUCAAACUGCUACAAGACAACACCCUGAUCUGGCAUGGACAUCGCGGGUCCAAGCCUGUAGACCCAAAUCGGAUAAUCUCUGCAGCUGAUAACAAGCAAAAGAGAAGCCAGGCAACAGCCAUAUUAACGAAGAAAACAAUCAACUCUGAGGUCUUUUUCAGAUUUAUCAAGUUCUGAAACGAUUGAAUGUGCACACAUUCUUCCAAUGCAUCCACAGGAUGCCACCCUGAAAGUUUUAUUUUCUCCAGGAAAGUAGAGUUCUCUGGGAGAGUUCUAGCCUGUGAACUCGGUAUGUAAAUGUGGUCAUCAAGCAAGACUGAACUGCCAAGAGGGAAGAUUUUGAAUGUUUCACUUUUAAAACCCUUCUCAGCAUUCCUUCUUCCAGUGGUACUUUACUCAAAGUUUUCCCCUUUUCCCAGCACUGUUGAAAAUGGCUCCAAAGCAACACUGCAGCAGCUAAACCAAUUGUACUAUGAAGUUGUUGAGAUGGCAUUUCAUCUGAAUCCUUUGUAAAAAUUAGAUUUUAAGUGUCCUUUGGGGAGGGGGGACAAGGGAGAGUGGAAGAAGGGGGGAGGGGACAGCAGUUUAUAUAUGUAUAUAUAUUUGUUGUGUUUGAAGGCCUCUGUGUCUUGGCUUCUCACUAUGUUAAAUCCCUAUUAUAAAACUUAUCUUCACAAAGCCUAUUAUAGUAUUCUGAGAACAAAUUGGACCAUGAAUAACUUAGUUGGAAGUGUAGAUUAUUUUCUACUCAGGGAAAGUUAGACAUGACAACAGCUUAACUGAAAGAAUAGUGAUUAAUCUUAAAUAGAUGGAUUUCAAAGUUUCACUCUUGAUAAAGAGUACCUUUGAUAUUUCCCCUCUUCAGACUCAUGUUUCCACUUCCUUUGUAUUAAGAAUUGUCCUGGUGAUCACACUGUCCACCUAAAACGGCAUGGCUCUAACUGUAGAUCAUUUUCUUUCAGGUUGUUAACCUGUCCAAGAGGUGACCAGCACGAUCCUCUACUUCCCAUUGGUUAAAUAUAUGGUUCCAAAGUGGUACCUGUGCUUAAUCGUCAAAAUCACUGUUAAGAAUGAUAUCUUACAUAAAUUAUAAUUUCUCAAUUAGAUAAAAUUACUUAAAAAUCUUAAAUUUGUUUAAUGCCCUAUAGCUUACAAAACACUUCUUGAUUCAUGAUUUCAUUUGAUCCUUAGAAAAAUGUUAUGAAAUAAACAAAUGUCAUUAAUCCCGUUUUACCAAUGAAGAAGCUGCGUUAUUUUCACACUGUGAUCUGGCUGAUAAAUGGAAGACCUGGGAUACUAACUCAGAUUUUAUAGCUUCUAUUUCAAGUGAUUAACCUAUAGCAAUAGGCUUUUUAAUUAUUUUUGUGUUGUAGCUCCCUGAUUUUGUAUUAAAGAGCAAAGUCUUUACAUUUCACAGAUUGAAAAGUUAAAAGACAUGAUUGAAAAAAAUUCUAUUCACUUAAAAGUGAAUUUUGGCAACUAUUAUUUUCCUUUGUGCACAUAUAUUCCAAUGGUCUUUUGGAACUGAAGGUCUUAAUUUUUUUUUUCCCUAAACUUUACUGGGGAACAGCCAUGGUCAUUAGUUACACAUUGCUUUCAUGCUAC